GAUGAACGCUGGCGGCGUGCCUAAUACAUGCAAGUCGAGCGAACAGACGAGUAGCUUGCUCCUCUGAUGUUAGCGGCGGACGGGUGAGUAACACGUGGAUAACCUACCUAUAAGACUGGGAUAACUUCGGGAAACCGGAGCUAAUACCGGAUAACAUGUUGAACCGCAUGGUUCAACAGUGAAAGACGGUCUUGCUGUCACUUAUAGAUGGAUCCGCGCCGCAUUAGCUAGUUGGUAAGGUAACGGCUUACCAAGGCAACGAUGCGUAGCCGACCUGAGAGGGUGAUCGGCCACACUGGAACUGAGACACGGUCCAGACUCCUACGGGAGGCAGCAGUAGGGAAUCUUCCGCAAUGGGCGAAAGCCUGACGGAGCAACGCCGCGUGAGUGAAGAAGGUCUUCGGAUCGUAAAACUCUGUUAUUAGGGAAGAACAAAUGUGUAAGUAACUAUGCACGUCUUGACGGUACCUAAUCAGAAAGCCACGGCUAACUACGUG
rnacentral:rRNA from 1 species